GACGAACGCUGGCGGCAUGCUUAACACAUGCAAGUCGAACGAAACCUCCGUGUCUUUGUGGGCAGCUCUACGUGCCACCUGGUGACUUACCCUUAGGUUCGCUAUCCCUCCCUUUGGGAUAUCUUCAUACCGCUUAGUCUCAUACCGCAUAGGAUUUCUUGCCUCUUGGUGGGGGUUGGAUAGUUUCGGGGGUUGGUGAUGUACUCGCGGCUUAUCGGCUGGAUGGUGGGGUAGUGGCUGAGCAAGGCCUUGAAGGGUAGCCGGCCUGAGAGGGUGACCGGCCACAUUGGGACUGAGAUACGGCCCAGACUCAUACGGGAGGCAGCAGUGGGGAAUAUUGCACAAUGGGCGGAAGCCUGAUGCAGCAACGCCGCGUGCGGGAUGACGGCCUUCGGGUUGUAAACCGCUUUCGCCUGUGACGAAGCGUGAGUGACGGUAAUGGGUAAAGAAGCACCGGCUAACUACGUG
rnacentral:rRNA from 1 species